rnacentral:misc_RNA from 1 species
UCCGGUUUAACACCGGCAGUCCCAGUAGAGUUCCCGGCUUUACCCGAUGGCAACUACUGGCAGGGGUUGCGCUCGUUGCGGGACUUAGCCCAACAUCUCACGACACGAGCUGACGACAGCCAUGCAGCACCUGUCUUGGGAUUCCGAAGAGGAACCGUGGUUUCUCACGGCUUUCCCCAAGAUGUCAAGCCCAGGUAAGGUUCUUCGCGUUGCGUCGAAUUAAACCACAUGCUCCGCCGCUUGUGCGGGCCCCCGUCAAUUUCUUUGAGUUUUAGCCUUGCGGCCGUACUCCCCAGGCGGGGUACUUAAUGCGUUAGCUACGGCACGGAUCCCAAGGAAGGAAACCCACACCUAGUACCCACCGUUUACGGCGUGGACUAC